UUUCGCAAUGCCCGAAAGGGUGACGAAGCGACGCCGCGUGUGGGAAGAAGGCCUUCGGGUUGUAAACCACUGUCAGGAGUUAAGAAAUGUAAGGGUGCUAAUAGUAUCCUUACUUGACUAAGGCUCCAGAGGAAGCCACGGCUAACUCUGUGCCAGCAGCCGCGGUAAUACAGAGGUGGCAAGCGUUGUUCGGAAUUAUUGGGCGUAAAGAGCACGUAGGCGGUUCUGCAAGUCGGCUGUGAAAGCCUUCCGCUCAACGGAAGAACAGCAGUUGAUACUACAGGACUAGAGUGCGGGAGGGGAGAGUGGAACUUCUGGUGGAGCGGUGAAAUGCGUAGAUAUCAGAAGGAACGCCGGCGGCGAAAGCGACUCUCUGGCCCGUAACUGACGCUGAGUGUGCGAAAGCUAGGGGAGCAAACGGGAUUAGAUACCCCGGUAGUCCUAGCCGUAAACGAUGGGCACUAAGUAGAGGGGUUUU
rnacentral:rRNA from 1 species